GGACUGCCACCCCGGUGUUCCAGCAUAGCACUACAUCACAGCACUACAGGGAGAGAUGGGGAAACUCCACUGAACUAGUUUCAAUACUAACUAUAGACAUUAAAAGCAUUCAUAUGCAUACCUGGACUCUGAGGCCAUCAUCACAGGUGCUUCUAGACAGGUGGACUGCGGCAGCAUGAAUGUGUUUGUUGUCUCCUCUCCAGCCUGAGGACUUCCCUGAGAUGGAGAUCUUGUGGCAGCUGACCUGCGCCUGGAACACAGGCAUCCUGCUUUACAGCCUGGCCGAGUACCCUGAGGGGUGGUGUGGCCUGGGCAUGAGCUUCCUCCGCUGCCUGGGCUCCCUGCAGGAGAGCUACCAGACACAGAUGUCAGAUCUGUACACAGGUCCUGGAUAGUCUGGACAAAGCCAAGAAGAACCUCCUCUUGGAGUCGUGAUUUGAGCUGGUAGAGCUUUGCAGAGCUCUUUUACUGUCUGGCACCUGAUGUUAUUCAUGUGGUAGCUGGGAUGGUAGUUUACUAUAUGAUGUAUGACUGGUCUCCAGUUUAGUCAGCUCCUCCAGGAUGUCAGUUGCAUCCUGUCCUCACCCAAUAUUUCCCUCACUUUCCCUAUGGAGAGUUCAGAUAACCAUUUCUGCUGGGGCGACAGGGUAGCCUAGUGGUUAGAGCGUUGGACUAGUAACCGAAAGGUUGCAAGUUCAAAUCCCCGAGCUGACAAGGUACAAAUCUGUCGUUCUGCCCCUGAACAGGCAGUUAACCCACUGUUCCUAGGCCGUCAUUGAAAAUAAGAAUUUGUUCUUAACUGACUUGCCUAGUAAAAUAAAGGUUAAAAAAAAAAAAAUCUGCACAUGAAUGGACUUUAUUUUAAGCCUCUUGCAUAUAUUACAUUUAUGUGAAUUUUACAUGUAAAAAUUUCAUUAAUCUUAAUUAAACAAAUCUUAAACUGCC
ensembl:lncRNA